rnacentral:lncRNA from 1 species
CUCCCGGUCAGCCGGCCGGUAUCUCCCGCGGAUCGCGAGUGGGAAAACGGCCCGGCCCGCUCCCCGCGGCCCGCCCGCUGCCGGCUCGUGAGGGAGCGCCGGGCUUCGUCGCCUCGUGCUGCCGGCGGCGGGCUCUGUGGGACUCCCCGCCGCGGGAUUUUGGUUUGCCCCGUAGCAAAAAAGCAUGCAGGCGCGCUCCCCGAAGAAGAGCCCCACAGAGGGCACGGAGCACACGAACGGGAACUUCAGGGUAUCCCUCGGUCGGGAAGUUCCCCGAGCCCCCGUCCAGAGCGGGGUGAGCGCUGAGGGCUGUCCCUGGGCCGCCGCCCCUCGCCCUGCGGCUGCAGACACCAACCCGCCAGCGCACUGCCCGGUCUGACCCACAGCAGCGGUUCCUGUGUCCUCUGAUCCCAUCCUGACGUAACACGGUAACGUGAGUGAUUUCUUCAGUGCUGCCAUUCCAGUGAAGGUUGCAGUAGAAUCUCCUUCCAUGUUAGUCACCGUGCUGGAGUAAGUUCUCUGGUUGUGUCUCCUGUCAUCAAGUGGCACCCCAUCCAGAUGUCUGCAAGGAGGAGAUCUCCUUUGACCUGGAC